rnacentral:snoRNA from 1 species
UCCCUCUCAGGGUUGCACCUGGAGAGUUUCCAGUACUCUACCAGUCUCGGCUACGGGAGGGAGAGUCAAGCAGAGGCCUGUCCGUUCCAUUCCUAGCUUGGGCUGUGGCGAGCGAGUGGCAGGCCAUCUGCUACAAGU